rnacentral:rRNA from 1 species
UGGGGAAUAUUGCACAAUGGGCGCAAGCCUGAUGCAGCCAUGCCGCGUGUAUGAAGAAGGCCUUCGGGUUGUAAAGUACUUUCAGUCGGGAGGAAGGUGGUAAGGUUAAUAACCUUAUCAAUUGACGUUACCCGCAGAAGAAGCACCGGCUAACUCCGUGCCAGCAGCCGCGGUAAUACGGAGGGUGCAAGCGUUAAUCGGAAUUACUGGGCGUAAAGCGCACGCAGGCGGUCUGUCAAGUCGGAUGGGAAAUCCCCGGGCUCAACCUGGGAACUGCAUUCGAAACUGGCAGGCUAGAGUCUUGUAGAGGGGGGUAGAAUUCCAGGUGUAGCGGUGAAAUGCGUAGAGAUCUGGAGGAAUACCGGUGGCGAAGGCGGCCCCCUGGACAAAGACUGACGCUCAGGUGCGAAAGCGUGGGGAGCAAACAGG